GGCUAUACUUAGAACAAGACUCCGUGAAAAAGAGGCACGGCAACAAAAACCCCAGGAGGACAUCAUCACCCACAAGUAGCCCCACCCUUAACUUAAAAUCAUGCAAUGUUUCCAAUGUGUCAAACCAAAACAAGAGAGUUAAAAACAUACCUGUAGCACCAUGGGUGUGAAGAUUUGAUGUCAAUCACAUAAUACUAAUACAAACAACAAAAUACAUUGGGUUUCCUCCCAAGAAGCG
rnacentral:lncRNA from 1 species